UAAGUUUGCCAGGUGGACGUUCAGUGUCCACCAUUGACAGCACAGAAUCAUUUUUUACAGAGUGAAGUCAAAUUUACUACGUAGGACCAGAAUAUUCCUUGAGACGCCACGGUAUAGGAUCCGAAGUAGAUGCCUCAAUUUCCUAUGACUCAGAUCUCUUCGCAGGCUUCCCAGCAGCUUUGGGGUGGGUCCAGGGGACCACCCUGUGCUCCAGGUGGUAACUGUGCUCUCAGCAAAGAGACGGGAAAAGUGCUGGGCAGAGUCAGGAGGCUGAGCUGGGAACUCUUCAGAGAGGUCUGAAAUGAUUCCACACCCAGAUGGAAGACCGCGUGUCCCAGCACUGAUUUGCAGUCUGGAGUCCACGGCUCUCAGCAUAUGACUGGGGUGAGCAGGGAAUUAGGACCACCUUGACCUCUAGCCGUCUGGUC
rnacentral:lncRNA from 1 species